rnacentral:misc_RNA from 1 species
GAUGAAGAACGCAGCGAAAUGUGAUACUUGGUGUGAAUUGCAGAAUCCCGUGAACCAUCGAGUCUUUGAACGCAAGUUGCGCCCGAAGCCAUUAGGCCGAGGGCACGCCUGCCUGGGCGUCUCACGUCGUUGCCCCCCCAUCUACUCCUUCGGGAUUGCGGGGGGCGGAUGAUGGCCUCCCGUGCGCCUCGCCGCGCGGUUGGCAUAAAUGCCAAGUCCUCGGCGACGCACGCCACGACAAUCGGUGGUUGCGAAACCUCGGUUGCCCGUCGUGUGCGGUCGUCGCGCAUCGAGGGCUCGAAAAAAUUGCCGGGUUCCGGCUCGGCUUUCAACGCGACCCCAGGUCAGGCGGGGUUACCCGCUGAAUUUAAGCAUAUCAAUAAGCGGAGGA